GGGCAGGUACCUUCGCGCGGUGCUGCCGGUGCCAUGGUUGCUGUAGACGUGCCGCUGCGUCCGCGGCCGGGCAGGCGUGAGGGCGAGGCGGGAUGGCGCCCGGGUGCCCGCCUGAAGGAGCCGCUGCCCGGGUCAAACUUCUUGAAGCUGGUAAAAAAUGAAGAUGGCUGUUAAACGUUUGAUGACCUAUCUCUACUGGCUAUACUAUCAGUAUAAACUGAUCACCUGUAGUGAACUCAUGGUACCCUGUGAAAAAUUGGUCUUCUACACUGUUAUUGUUCCUAUGCUUGCUGCGAUUGUGUACAUGGUUUACAUCUUUAUCACUAUGCAGAUCAAUCUGGCUUUUCAGUUUUUCUUACUUGUAUUUGGAAACCAGCCUGAAAGUACUGUUUCUAUUAUAAAAUAGCCUAGCCACCAUCAUGGUGGCUUUUUGAUCCUGCACGCGGUUCUCCUAAACCUAUGUAUUUGUUUAGAAGCAGUUUGAGGUUUACGCGAACACUACUUUUUGUGUGUGUAAAAUCUCCUUAACUAGGAAUUGUACAGAAGAUAAAACCAACCUUUAUUCCGUAAUGGACACUUUAUCCUAGACAUAUUACUUACUGAAUAUUCUACUUGUCCACCUUAAGAAUAAUGUGCAUAUACAGUAUUUUAGAUAUACUGAAAUAGGAGAAAUUAAAUCUUUAAUCCUUACAGAUUAGAGCUGGUAAAAAAAUUUCAAUAUUUAAUGGAAAAAUUGUGGGGGAAAAAAUUGUGGGGGGAAAACUUACAUUUUCAUGAAUGCUUUUUGAGCAGCUUUAUUAAACAUACAGAGCUUACUCUUUAUCAUAGCGGGUAAUAUCUAAUGUAGAAUGACUUACUUUUCCUAAUUAAGACUUACAUACUUUCUUGAGCAGGAUUUAAUUCUAAUUGUUUAUAUAAAAAUGUGUGGAGAAAAACAGCAUAAAAUAUUUAUCAAAAGUGUAAGGGAGGAAGAAAAUGUUAAAGUAAUGUGUCAAGGCAGGGCAUUAACUUGCUAUAUAUUACUUACUUCUGCUUCUGUAGAGAAUAUAACUGUUAAUACUUUACAAAUCUUGUACAAUAUUUGUCAUGAUUUAUGAUCUCUUCCACGGUCCUGACUUAUAGUAUAUCAAAAAUGUGAGUCCAGUGCAACGUGACCUGAACACUGCCAGUAAAAUCCUGGCCCCACUGAA